AUGGCUCCGCCUUCUGAGCCUGGCCCCGGGGCUGCUGUCCCUCUGGUUCCAGCAUGGCCCCUUCAAGAGACACACCCCUGCACACCCCUGAAGCACCUGUCCCCAAGGGUCCUGCUUCCUCCUCAUCUUCCUCCAAGAAUACAAGGUUCCAACUGCUCCAGCUCCCGGUGUCUCCAAAGCCCGGGACCUGAGCUCCAGCACAGAAAGAACUCAGCUCACUUACUGGCUGGCUUUCUAACACCAGCUCCCAUGACAAUGAACCCACUCUCUCAGGAGCCACACUGGCCCUUCAGGAGAACAGAGUUGGUGGUCCUGACUGCCUCUCACCACCAUUACAGUGGGGACCAGCCUCCGCGUGAGUUUGAUGAGGCGGAACCAUAGCAGAGACGGUGGUUACUCUCGGGGGAGCAGAAGAGCAGAAGAACCGGAGGAGGUGGAGUCUGAGAUGCAGCACAGGAAGCAGCGAGGGGUUAGGGUCAUCCUUAGCUCUCCAGGCUGAAAAAAGCCAGCGGGCAGGACAUUCAUAAAGCGUUGCACAGCUCAGGGCAGACAGUACCAGUCUGCCACUCAGGAGACCUGAAUUUUUUCUUUUUUCUGACUUUGAAUCCCUGUGUGACUGAGGGCUGGUUACUAACCCUCUCUGAACUCUGCUUCUGCAUCCAUAGGAUGACGAAUCUGAGCUAGAAAGUGUCAAAGGCCCUGUGAUGUGGCUGAGUUGGUAGAGUGUUGAGGCUUUAGCAAGGUAAGGCUAGAAACACUUUUUAAAGCUCAUGCCAAAGCCAGGCGUUGUGGCGCAUGCCUGCAAUCCCAGCACUCGGGAGGCUGAGGCAGGAGGAUCAUUGUGAGUUUGAGGCCAGCCUGGGCUACAAAGUGAGUGCUCAAGGCCAGCCUGAACUGCAUAGUGAGAUCCUGUCUCAAAAAGACUAAAUAAAAUAAAAUAAAAUAAAAUAAAGCUCAUGCCAGGCAGAAUGACCCAGAAGAAAAAACAAAAUCCUUGGAGUUAGAUGAUCCUGGAUUCUUAUCCUAACUGUACCUUGUACUAGGCCCAAUGUUAGUCAGUGUCUUAACUUUCCAAGUCUAAUCUCCUUCAUUAGCAAAUGGAGGCUACUGAUACUUCUUUCAUAAGAUGUUGGAUUGAAAUAAGAAAAUCUAUCUCGGUGUACCGGUACAUGCUCAUAAUCCUGGCUUCUUGGGAGGCUGAGGCAGGAGGAUCACAAGUGUGAGGACAGCUUGGGCAACAUAGGAAGAUCCUGUCUCAGAGUGGGAGACGCAGCUCAGUGCAGAGGCCCUGGGUUUAAUUCCUGGUAUGGCAAGAGAGAGAAAGAAACCAGGAAGGAAGCAGGAAAGGAGGGAAGGAGGGAGGGAGGGAAGAGGGAGAGAGGGAGGAGGGAAGGAAGGGAGUUGAAUUCUUCUAUUUUACGGGAACCCACUCCACAAGGUACUGACAUAGCGAGGUGUGGUGGCACACACCUAUAAUCCCGGGCCUCGGGAGGCUGAGGCAGGAGGAACACUGUAUUCUGGGCUACACAGCCUGGACUAUAUAAUGAAAUCUUGUCUCAAAAAAAAAAAAGCU
ensembl:lincRNA